rnacentral:tRNA from 1 species
GAGGGUAUAUCUCAGUGGUAGAGUGCAUGCUUAGCAUGCACGAGGUCCUGGGUUCAAUCUCCAGUAACUCCA